UACAGAGGAGCCAAGCGUUGUCCGGAUUGACUGGGCGUAAAGCGCACGCAGGCGGUCUGGCGCGUGGGGUGUGAAAUCUGGCCGCUUAACGGCCAGGCGCCAUCCCAUACGGCCGGACUGGAGCCUUGCAGAGGUCGGUGGAAUUGCCGGUGUAGUGGUGAAAUGCGUAGAGAUCGGCGGGAACACCCAGGGGGAAACCAGCCGACUGGGCAAGUGCUGACGCUGAGGUGCGAGAGCGUGGGGAGCGAACCGG
rnacentral:rRNA from 1 species